UAAGGAAUAUUGGUCAAUGGGCGGAAGCCUGAACCAGCCAUGCCGCGUGCAGGACGACUGCCCUAUGGGUUGUAAACUGCUUUUGCCGGGGAACAAACCUAUCUACGCGUAGAUAGCUGAGUGUACCCGGAGAAUAAGGAUCGGCUAACUCCGUGCCAGCAGCCGCGGUAAUACGGAGGAUCCGAGCGUUAUCCGGAUUUAUUGGGUUUAAAGGGUGCGUAGGCGGGGCUUUAAGUCAGGGGUGAAAUACGGCAGCUCAACUGUCGCAGUGCCUUUGAUACUGAAGUCCUUGAAUGUGGUUGAAGAUGGCGGAAUGGGACAAGUAGCGGUGAAAUGCAUAGAUAUGUCCCAGAACCCCGAUUGCGAAGGCAGCUGUCUAAGCCAUUAUUGACGCUGAUGCACGAAAGCGUGGGGAUCGAACAGGAUUAGAUACCCUGGUA
rnacentral:rRNA from 1 species